rnacentral:rRNA from 1 species
UACGAAGGGGGCUAGCGUUGUUCGGAAUUACUGGGCGUAAAGCGCGCGCAGGCGGUUUUCCAAGUCAGUGGUGAAAGCCCGGAGCUCAACUCCGGAACUGCCAUUGAAACUGUUAAACUUGAGGACGAGAGAGGUGAGUGGAAUUCCCAGUGUAGAGGUGAAAUUCGUAGAUAUUGGGAAGAACACCGGUGGCGAAGGCGGCUCACUGGCUCGUAUCUGACGCUCAGGCGCGACAGCGUGGGGAUCAAACAGG